rnacentral:rRNA from 1 species
GAUGAACGCUAGCUACAGGCUUAACACAUGCAAGUCGAGGGGCAGCAUGAACUUAGCUUGCUAAGUUUGAUGGCGACCGGCGCACGGGUGAGUAACACGUAUCCAACCUGCCGAUGACUCGGGGAUAGCCUUUCGAAAGAAAGAUUAAUACCCGAUGGCAUAAUUCUUCCGCAUGGUAGAACUAUUAAAGAAUUUCGGUCAUCGAUGGGGAUGCGUUCCAUUAGGUUGUUGGCGGGGUAACGGCCACCAAGCCUUCGAUGGAUAGGGGUUCUGAGAGGAAGGUCCCCCACAUUGGAACUGAGACACGGUCCAAACUCCUACGGGAGGCAGCAGUGAGGAAUAUUGGUCAAUGGGCGAGAGCCUGAACCAGCCAAGUAGCGUGCAGGAUGACGGCCCUAUGGGUUGUAAACUGCUUUUAUAAGGGAAUAAAGUGGGAGUCGUGACUCUUUUUGCAUGUACCUUAUGAAUAAGGACCGGCUAAAUACGUG